CUACAUUGCUUUGAGUUUCAUAUCACAUAUUCUUAAAAUAAAAUUGUAAAAUUAUUUAUAAAAUAAUGUAGGUUACAAAUCUGGAAAUGGAAGCCCUCUAAGAUAUAGUUUAAAUUCAGGUUCUUCUAGAUUAAAACGAAGAAAAUGUGCAUUAACAGACACAUAAUGUGAUUGUUUAUCUAUGGCCGUGUUCAAUCUCAAACCGCCCCUGUGCUGCCUGUAUCAUAAAAAGUCUUUGGUAUCUAGUUGGGCCAUUCAGUCGAUUUCGGGCCGUUGAAACAGUUGGAAGCGGUGGUCGCGUAUUACCUGCAUUUUCACACUUUUCUCUUCCAUUUACUUCUCCCUCGCGGCAACAAGGGCAGGUGCAUUUGGUCGGUGUUUCGUAGUGUCCCUGACUAACUGCGUGAGUGUGUGUGUGAGACGAAAGUGUGCGUGUAUUUAGGAGUAAAGGCGCGUGAAAUAUUAUAUCAACGAUAACAACAAUAACAACAACCAAAGAGAAGUCACAGUCAGCUGUAAAGUUUCAGUUAAUGUGUAAA